GGAGGGCACGGGAGCAAAGGGCGAUGGGCGGAGGAGAGCGGGGGGGGACGGGGGGGGACGGAGGGGGGCGGGGAUCGCGCAGCGCUCGGCCCUUCGGCGGCCCUUCGGCGGCCCUUCGGACAUCGGAGGAACGGCUUCGGGAUCGCGCAACGCAAACGGGAGCUGCGGAGGGGGUCGGGAACGCCCACAGCUCCGUGGGCUGCAGCCGCUGCUCAGCGGGGUACAGCGCGCCGUUAAUGGGGUACCACGUGCAGUUAAUGGGGUACCACGUGCAGCGAAUGGGGUACAACGCACAGUGAAUGGGGUACAAUGCGCAGUGAAUGGGGUGCAGCGCGCAGUGAAUGGGGUACAACGUGCAGUGAAUGGGGUGCAGCCCUCAGUUAAUGGGGUGCAGCCCGCAGUGAAUGGGGUACAAUGUGCAGCGAAUGGGGUACAACGUGCAGUGAAUGGGGUACAAUGCGCAGUUAAUGGGGUGCAGCCCGCAGUUAGUGGGGUACAAUGCGCAGUGAAUGGGGUACAACGUGCAGUGAAUGGGGUACAACGCGCAGUGAAUGGGGUGCAGCCCGCAGUGAAUGGGGUCCAACGCGCAGUUGAUGGGGUGCAGCCCGCAGUGAAUGGGGUACAAUGCGCAGUUGAUGGGGUACCACGUGCAGUGAAUGGGGUACAACGCGCCGUUAAUGGGGUACCACGUGCAGUUAAUGGGGUACAACGCGCAGUUAAUGGGGUACAAUGCGCAGUUGAUGGGGUGCAGCCCGCAGUGAAUGGGGUGCAACGCGCAGUUGAUGGGGUGCAGUGCGCAUUGAAUGGGGUUCGACGCGCAGUUGAUGGGGUGCAGUGCGCAUUGAAUGGGGUCCGACGCGCAGUUGAUGGGGUGCAGUGCGCAUUGAAUGGGGUCCGACGCGCAGUUGAUGGGGUGCACCCCGCAGAUCGUCCUGGAAUCCUAAAAUCGCCAGGGUUGGAAAAGCCCUCCGAGGUCAUCCGGCGCAGCCGCCCACCCAUCACCACCGGGCGCACCCCGCAGCUCAGUGGGGUGCAGCCCCCCACCCCCCCCCCACGGCUCGUUGGGGUGCGCCUCACAGCCAACUGGGGUACACCCGCAGCUCAAUGGGGUACACCCGCAGCUCAAUGGGGUACGCCCCGCAGCUCAUGGGGUACGCCCCGCAGCUCAAUGGGGUACGACCUGUGGCUCUUUGGGUACGCCCCGCAGCUCAAUGGGGUACACCGCAGCUCAUGGGGUACACCCUGCAGUUCAAUGGGGUACGCCCCGCAGCUCAUUGGGGUACCCCACAGCCAACCGAGGUACACUCCUACAGCUCACCGGGGUACACCCUGAGGCUCAUUGGGGUACACCCCGCAGCUCAUUGGGGUACGCCCCACAGCUAAUAAAAGUACACCCCGCAGCUCAUUGGGGUACACCUUACAGCUAACGGGUACAGCCUGCAGCUCAUUGGGGUACAACGGGGAGCUAACUGGGGUGCAACCCACGGCUAAAUGGGGUACACCCUGACAACUAACCAGGG
ensembl:lncRNA